AGUCCCACCUUUUAUUGGCUAUCUUGGUGAAGCACAUGGAGCAUAAGAAUGUAGCUAAGCAACCUCAUAUACAAGUUAACAUUAUCGAUGUCAUUACUCAACUUGCACAAAAUGCAAAGCCUCAGCCGUCAGUAGCAAUCAUCGGUACUAUAACUGACUUGAUGAAGUAUCUACGAAAAUGCCUUCAAAAUUCAACUGAAAUAUCAAGUUCUGGGGGUGAUAUUGAUAAAUAUAACACUGAUCUUCAGUUGGGAUUAGAAAAGUGUAUCUCACAGCUAUCAAAUAAGGUUGGGAAUAUGUUCUUGACCCAUCCAAGUUUUACUUGAAUCUGAUUAUUUUAAGAUACUUGCAGAAACUACAUUUGAUACUUACGGAAACUACUUUUUCUUGUUAUUCAAAUGUUUUUUCCAUUUAGUUGAAACUUAUUUUCUUUAUGUAUUUAACAGGUUGGGGAUGUGGGACCAAUUCUUGAUAUGAUGGCUGUUGUACUAGAGAAUAUUUCAACCAACAGUAUUGUUGCCCGAACAACUGUCUAUGCUGUUUAUCUAACUGCAGACAUUAUCUCAUCUAUCCCAAACAUAUCAUAUCACAAGAAGGCAAGUGUUCUUGUGUAAUAUACUGUUAUAUUUGUUCCUAUCUUUUAUGUGCAUAUAUGUUCUGACAUUAUAAUCUGUUCCAGGCCUUCCCUGAUGCUCUAUUUCACCAGUUGCUCCUCGCAAUGGCCCACCCAGACCAUGAAACUCGAGUUGGAGCACAUAACAUUUUCUCCACUGUGCUUAUGCCGUCCUUGCUUUCACCUACGUCAGAUCAAAAUAAAAACACUUCUGAAGAUGUUUGUUCUGACUUAUCAGUUAGUGGCAUCCAAGAAGGUAAGGAGUCACAGCUUUGCUUUUCAGGAUGAAGGUAAAGACCAAGCAGAACUCGUUGAUGGAAGACUAAAAGAAAAUGUAAAUCAAGCAUCAGAUAUGGCUGUUAAAAAAUCAAUAAUGUGUCAGUCCCAUGGACACUCAUAUAGCUUCAAGCAUGGUCUGGGUGAUGGAAAAAUGGUGUGAAACUGCUUUCUCUCUGUUGCUUAGUGUUGUUAUCAAUACUGAUACUAUUUAGUGUUCUUACAUAUUUGAAAUUUUCAGCAGCUCACUUCCCUUCGAUUAAGUAGCCAUCAAGUGAGUCUUCUGCUUUCAUCCAUAUGGGUCCAAGCAAAUUCUGCUGAAAAUACCCCUGCAAAUUUUGAUGCUAUGGCCCAUUCCUAUAGCAUUGCAGUAUUGUUUACCCGAUCCAAGGUUUGUCAUAAUUUUAUACUGCCUUUGUUCCAAAAUAUUAAUCUCCUUUAUCAAUUCACAAGGUUCAAGAAAUAUAGUUGUUUUUAUGAUAUCAACUUACUCUUGAUGAUUGAUUUUAUUUUGUUUUUGGUGAUGAUGUAUGAUAUAGUAAUGGCUAGAAUAGUGAAAUCAACAAAUGAUUGUUAGUUUUGGUAAUGAACAAACAUUUUGGAACAACCCAAAAUAGAAGAAUGAACAAAUUAUUUAUUUAUUGUUUCACAGAGAGAGUAUCUGCUGCUGCUGAUUGUGCUUAAUUUGAUAUUGUAAAUGCCUUUUCAAUUAUUAUAGAAGUUCUUUGUUCUCAGCUUGGAUGCUUUACGUGAAAGUAGAAAAGCAAAAAGGAAAAAACUGACUCUCCCUUCAUCGUCUCUUUCUAGUUUUCAGCACCAUCUACCAUUAUCUAGGAAACUCACAGUGAGAUAGCAAUGGUUAACCUUUUUGUUUCAAGCACCCAAGUUAGGUUUAUCAUGUGAUAUUCAAGUUGUUUCUGCUGUGAGGUGUGGCUUGGGCCAAGAAUUGGGUUGUGAUAGAAUUUGGAUAUUACCUUGAGUUUCUAAGAGGCAUGUCCCAGAUCUUCUGCUAAAGAAGAUCCCCUUCUUUAUCUUUUACAUUUUGUGUAGGGAAAUUUGUGACAUAUCUUUAACGCCAGUAGAGUUUCUCUUUGUCCAUUUUGGUAGCUAUUCCUGAACAUGGACUUUUGAUAAAUUUUGCUGAUGACAGACCUCCAGUCACAUGGCCCUAGUUCGGAGUUUUCAGCUGGCAUUCUCCCUUAGGAGUAUCUCUCUGGAUCAAGAAGGUAUGUUACAUCUAUUAUUACUGGUAUUUAUAUAUAUAUAUAUAUUUAUAGAGUGAAAGAGCACAGUGUUAUACAUAUACAUGCAGUUGGAUUAUGCUUUCUGUCCAUUUUAUCAAUUGGAAGCCUCACACACUGGAUUAUUCCAUAAACUUCCGUGAUCUUGUUUAUCCUUGUUGAUUUUGUCUUAGAUAUGCUACUUUAAUUUUGCUAACAGCCAUCUCAAGCAGCAAAUGGAAAGGAAACUUUGCUCAGAAAAGUUUAUUCUUUUUCUUGUCCUAGAUAUUUACUAAGUAAUUUAUAUUAAUGGUAUAUGGUGCUAUCUUUGUCCAGCUGUCCUAUCUAUUGGAAACCUUGUAGUACACGUAUUCAUGCACGGAGGCAUUUGUAUACUCAUGCAAAGGAAUAUUCCUUAUACACCCCUGAUCCUAUAUAUCCUAUUUGAUUUUGUCUCACCAAUGCUCUCUUAAUGUUUCUCAGAAUCAACAUAAAAGGAAAAACAAAAUAAAAGCUCAUGCUUAUCAAAUAUGAUUCUUUUCUUGCCCUCCUAUUUUAUUGAGGAAAUCAUAUCUAUACUAAUAUUUAAUGCCACUGACUCAGAUGGUAUCAUAACACCAACUUGGUCUCCUCUUAAAAAUAUUUAAUCUUAGUUGAUCUUUUAGAGUUUUACUGAAUUCAAAAUUUAUUUUCCUAUUUUUUUUAAUCCCUUUUUUUCAUCAAACGACAUACCACGUUGUAUAACAUUUAAAUAACUUUACUACCUUUAUUUUCCCUGAUAAUUUUUUUAAUACUUACUUUAAAUAAUUAAAAUUAUUGCUGUGUAUUUUUAUCCAUAUGCCUAGUGGAUGAACAAAGGGCUAGUUGAUUGUUUAUGUAAGUUCAUGCACAUAGUAGUUUUAGCAUCAAAGGAUGGUUUACACUGAAUAGCCUUAGGAAGUAGAAUUUGUUGCUCAAAUUCUGUAGAAUUUGUUAAAUUUGGUGAAAACUUCUCCUGACAUUAGUGUCUUGCAUGCAUGUUGAAGGAGGUUUGCAACCAUCUCGCAGAAGGUCUCUCUUUACCUUGGCAUCCUACAUGCUUAUUUUCUCAUCAAGGGCAGGCAAUCUUCCAGAGUUAAUUCCUCUUGUUAAAGCAUCUCUAACAGAUAAAACAGUCAGUUUCUUAUCCUUAAUCUAUAGGAGGUCAUUUAUAUUUUUUAUGGUACUUGAGUUUUUCAUCCUUUGCACAGGUUGAUCCUUAUCUCAAAUUAGUUGAAGAUAUCGGACUUCAGGCUGUUUGCAUGAAAUCUGAUGUGGACAGCAUAGCAUAUGGAUCAAAGGAAGAUGAUGUUGCUGCAUUGGAAUCCCUCUUGGCAAUAGAGCUAGAUGAUCUUCAUUUGAAGGAGACUGUCAUAUCCCAUUUCAUGACUAAAUUUGAGAAAUUGUCGGAGGUGAUAUAUCAGUUUCUUGAUUAUUAGUGCCUGCUUCUCUGGCUUUGUUGACAAUAAUAAGUAUUUAUUAUUGGAGGUUGAGUGAGGAGGUGGUUCCUUUGGUUUUGAGUGCAUUAUCAGUUAGAUUGAUGUAGAAUUUUUUGUUCUUGAAGUAAUGAAGUGUUGAACAAAGGUGCUUUAGACCAGGUGGUUAAGGAUUCUUUGUUUAAUAGAUAUGUUAUGUGAAAGAUUUGGGCUCCAAGUAGCUACUGUUGUUAACUAAUAGGACCAAAUAUCCUAAUACAGAGUGGAGUUAGGAGUAAUGUUACUUUGAGUGGUGGCAGCUACUGCCUUUGUUGAAAUAUAAGAAGAAAGGGUCUGAAGACAAGAAAAGAACUGGAUAAAAUGAGUGAAUCUAGUCCUAACUUGCAAAUUUCUUGUCAUAAGUGAAUUAUUGUCCCUCCCCCCCUGGUUCAGGUGUGUGGCUUAUAAAGAGUAAUAAUGACAUUAUAAUGAGAUUAUCAAUGCUCUUGGAUAGCUAUGGUAACGAUUAGUUGUCACAUGUCAUUUAGUUGUUCCACAUUUUUCAUGUAAAACGAAUUACAGCAUUUAUGGGAGCUUGUUCACAAACAAGCUUCUUAUCAUCCCUUUUUUGCUUCUUCCAGGAUGAAUUAUCAAGUAUAAAGAAACAACUUCUUGAGGGCUUUUCACCAGAUGACGUAUAUCCAUUAGGUGCUCCAUUGUUUAUGGAGACACCAAGACCAUGUUCUCCUCUUGCACUGAUGGAGUUUCAAGCAUUUGAAGAGGUACAUCUUGUUCGUAUUACAUUAACUCCUAUAACACUGUGAUAUUGUGUGGUUGACUUAAUGAUUUUCUUUCAGAUUAUGCCUCUGGCUGCAAUAACAGAUGAAGAAGAAGCCUUCCCUGAAGCCAAUGGAAGUCAGUCAGAUCGCAAAACAUCAUUAUCCAUCAGUACACUAGAUGUCUUAAGUGUGAAUGAGCUAUUGGAUUCAGUAAGCUGAGCAGUUCUAUUUAUUAGUAUUUUUAUUGAUUUUUCUAUUUUUAUUAUAAUUUUUCUAUGAAUUUGGAAACAUUAUAAAUUACAGAAGGACGGUAUGUCUUUAUUCAACUCCAUUGGUCAUCAUUUGGAUUUUGGUGCUGCUUAUGCUUUUGACCCUUCAUCUUGGUUUUAGUGGCGCUGAAUAAAUCAUUUUGGACAUUUUGGAAGGGUAAAAUAAACUAGGUUUGGGAGUCACAUUUUGAGUACGUUACUUUAUGAUUGUACCUUAUUUUGAGUUCCUCUAAAAAGGUGUGGUGUUAGCAUAGAUAUAUAAGUUUGAAAAGAGUCAGCUCUUGAAGCAUUAUAUUAAGAGUAUGUGAUCUUUCAUUCUUUUGGGUAGGGAAGAAAGCCUACUAAAUUAAUCCAUGAAGGGUUCUUGUUUUAGGUGUCCUAUUCCUAGUUACAUAAUUGUACUUGGAAGGAAACAGAAAAGAAGAAAACAAUGUGGGGGGACUGAUUCUUGUGGAUGUAUCCUUAAGUGUAUGCGUGCUGUUUUGGCAAAUUUAUAUACUGCUCGGAUCUUCAUUCAAAAACCAAACAUUGUCAUUACUAGGUGGUUGCUAUGAUUUGAUUAGAUUUAGAUUGAACGCUUGGAGAUGGAAGAGAGAAAAGCCCUUUAAUGAACUUUUUUGAAGAACUAUUUAAUCCAUUUCUGGCUGUUGGUUCCAGAGAUCUAGUUUUCACAUUCUUUAUACUUUAACCCCCUCUAUGUCUCCAGAGUUUUAUCUAGCUUUCAUUUUUUCACAAACUAUAACGGUUGGUUACACCAACAGGUUCUGGAAACAGCCCGGCAAGUUGCAAGCUUUUCAGUUUCCCCUACGCCCAUUCCUUAUGACGAAAUGAAAAGUCAGUGUGAAGCUCUUGUAAUGGGUAAACAUCAGAAGAUGUCAGUGCUUCAUAGCUUCAAGCAUCAACAGGAAACCAAGGCAACCUUCGAGCAAACUGAAAAGGAAGUCCUCUAUUUACCAAGUGUGGUGAGUUGGUUUAUACAUACAUGACGAACAUCUGUAUGAAUGUCUUAAUUUCUUGAAUGGAAUCUUUAAUUAUUGUUUAUUCCUUUCCACUUUCUUCCCUAAGCAAAAGCAUAACCUUUAAUGAAUCACCUUUCAGUACCAUUGAUAGUGUUACACAUAAAAAAUAAUAGUAGUAUAAUCUAUGAUAGUUAAUAGUACUAAUUAAAAGAAAGUGGAAGACAAUAACAAAGAAUAAAUUUUUUCUACUGUUUUCCAAUUUAUAGCAGGUUUUAUUAAAGGUUGAAUUCCAGAAAUCUUUUUCAAUUUCCAAAUAAAAAGGAUUUCUUAGUAGUUUUAAAACAGCAAUAUCUUUUCUGUUGUUAUGAUGCUUGCAUAACAUGUGGUUCCUUUAGCACAAAGUUGGCUUUGGAUAUAUGGUUUAUGGAAGUUACACACAAAUUGAGGAAUCCGGUAUGUAUCUUGAUAAAUAUUGCAUCUAAAGUCUUUCAAAUUUGAGGAAUCCACUAUGCAUCUUGAUUGAAAUGGCAACUAAAGUCCUUCAGAAUUUGGUAACCUGUCUGGUAAUUUGAUAUUUAUCCAAAAUAGGAGGAAGAGAGGCUUUACAUGGUUUGAAUACAUUUUACAUCCUUGAUUUUGAAUUGGGUUUGUCUAUUAGAAUCCAUAUGCUUGUAAAAGACAUUUUUAAGUAGUGCUUUUCUAGUGUAGUUCAAGAUAAGAGAAUGUUCAUGACAUUUAUGUUACAAAAUUGGCCUGCACUACAGGAUGAUUUUAAUCAAUUAAAUGAUAUUAUGAAACUGAUAAUUGUAGUUUUGGUGGAUUAUCAUUUUCUAUUUCAGAAAAUGGAGUUUUCGGAAGAUCUGAAGUUGAUUAGCAAGGAGCAAGUUCAUGUAAGGGGACAGCUUGCCCUGUGUUCACAAGAAUAUGGGCAGCGUUCCUUCCGAUUGCCACCAUCAAGCCCUUACGACAAAUUCUUGAAAGCAGCUGGAUGCUAAAGAGGUUGGAUAUGUUUUAUAUAUAUGUAUAUGUAACAAUCUAUAGCUUACUUAUCUUCCUUUUCUUUAUCUUUUCCUUUCCAGACUAUUGUGAAUUCUAUUCAUUUUUUGUUGCCAUGGAAGCUCAUUCUAUGCAUUUCUACCCAUCUCACCAGAAUGAAAGAACUGAUUAAGGAAGAGGUAGAAUGGACAUGAUACAGUAUUGUUUGAACAAAGUUGUUUGUUUCUUUUGUAAUGUUUAUAGCACUCCAGCAUCUUGUACAAGAGAGCAUUGUAGGACUCUGAUAAUUCUUUGUAUGAUAUUUCUAUGAUAAUGUAAUUUUAUCCUUUGCAAUUUUUGGUUUAUUCUUCCUUUUGUGUAAAUCUCAAACAUGUCAACAGUUGACCAAACAAGAAAGGUGUUACACCUUUUUAGUAUGUGCCAUAAUUAUCUUUUCUCCUUUAAAUUUUAUGUAUACUCCAAUCUAAUUUUUUUUUAAUAAAUGAGGCCGUAGUUUGGGAUAAGAAAAGAGAUUGUAAGUGUUAAGAUUUAAAUUUUAAUCACUUAUUAGAUAUUAUUUUUUGAAGGUGAUUGCAUAAAAAAAUUGACCUUAAGUCAUGGUACAAUCUAAUUCUUUUUUACUCAUAGUUUAUAGGUUGAAGAAAUACGGUAAUUUUUUCUAUACAUUGGGAAAAUGGCGUUCAAAUUCUGCUCUUUAUUGCUACUUAUAAUCCUAGACUGCUACAAAGUACAACCACAUAAAACGGAUUAAGCCAAAAUUUUAAGGUCAAAACCUUGAGUUAUUCCUUCCAAAAUGUGUAUCCAAUCGUCCAAAGGGAACAAAAUGCAGAAAAACUUGAAAAUAAUUGUUUUGAUCUCUUUGAAUAUCUACGGAAGCUUUGCAGAACAAGGGACAUACUUUUAGCAAGGCCACUUAAAUAAGAGUUUAGAAGACCACAAAAAAAAAAAAAUCUAUUUUCUUAACUCUAAUUGAAAGUAGCUUACAAGUGAGGGUUAAAGAGGCAUUUGUUCUCUUGUAGACAAUAAUUACAUAUUAAUUUCCUUAAAUAUUAUAUGUAAUAAGAAAUGAAUUAAAUAUUUAAAUUUAACAUCUAUAUAAUUUUGAUUGCAAAUUCUUUUUGAUUUGUCCUGUGAAUUUUUGUUUUGAUUUUUUUUUUUUAAAGUUUAAACGUUGUAUUUUGUUUAAUAUUAACUAUUAUCCCACUUUUACUGUAUAAUUCUAAAUUUACAAACUCAUAACUUAUAAUCUCUCUCUCUCUCUCUCUCUCUAUAUAUAUAUAUAUAUAUAUAUAUAUAUAUAUAUAUGUAAGUUGAGUGAUAAACUGAUAAUAAUGUGAACAAUACAUGUAUAAUUAUGAGAGAACAUGAAAAUAUGUAUGCAUAAAACUAAGAUUUAGUGACAAAAAGAGUUGCCUACUUUAAGCCACAUUUGUUCCAAAAAUCUGAAGUAUAUGAACCUCCAUCGUCUGCUAAUCACCAAUGGUCCCAAAAUACUCCAAAAGCCAGUAAUAAAUCCGAGAGCCAUGCUUACAUAGAACCAGUUUACUUCAAGUCCCCUUCCAUUUCUUCUACCUCCAUUGCUGAUAUUAGGUUCUAUACCACUUUCACUGCAGUCCUCUAAUGGAGAUCCACAAAGAUGGUUCCCAGCGUAACUUGAAGUAUUGAAGCUCUGUAACUGAGUACUUGAAGGUAUUUGGCCAGUCAAAUUGUUACAGGAGACGUUCAAGUGGCUUAAAAAUGUCAUACCUGACAUGCUUUGUGGAAUCGAACCGGAGAGCUGGUUUACAGAGAGAUCAAGAGAUUCUAGUGAUUUCAUACCACCAAUGUUUUCAGGGAUCUUUCCAAUUAAAUGAUUGUGGGACAAAUUUAAGGAUUGCAAUCCUUGGAGGUUUGUCACUUCCUGUGGGAUCUCUCCUGACAAAUUGUUGCAAGAGAUAUCUACAAUUCUGACCAAGUUGAGAGUGCUGCUGUAUUCAAGUAAUUGGCCUUUCAUCACAACUGAUGCAGAUUCAGAAGUAGGUCCAGUAAUAUUACCAUAAUUUAUAUUGCUGUCCUUGGAACCAUUCCCUCUGGCCAUGGCACUGAAGUUGUUCACACAUCUUGGUAUACUCCCAAAGAGAUUGUUAUUAGCAAGGUCCAAAAUUUGGAGAGAACCGAGAGCACAUAAAUGGUCUGGUAUGUUACCUCGAAACUUGUUUGAUCGAAGACUUAGAAUCAUCAGAUACGGAAGGCUAUGGCCUAACCAUCCUGGAAUGUUGCCAUCUAAUUCAUUCCCGCCAAGAUUAAUUGCCUCCAAUCCUGUGCAAUUUUUCAGAGACAAAGGGAUUUCUCCAUGAAGGUUGUUAUUGUAAAGAUUUAGCGAUUGAAGGGAGCGCAAAUUUCCCAUGGAGCUUGGAAUUCUACCAGUAAAUCUGUUGUCAUUUAGUCUUAGGACCAUCAAAGAUCGCCACUUGAUCCAACAAUCCGGUAUUUCUCCAGAUAGCAGAUUGUUAGCAAGACUAAGAAUACUUGUUCCCAUGGUGUCAUUCAACUGAUAACACAAAAACUGGAAAAGGGAUCCCGAGAAAUAAUUAUUGGAAAGGUCUAUCCUGGAAUGGGAGGAAUAUAUAGAGGUUCGAGGCAAUGGACCACUAAAAUGGUUGAAACUGAGGUCAAGAGCAACAAUUCCAUCAACCUUAGGUAGAUACUCAAUCUGCCCGUAGAUUUGGUUGCUAGAGAGAUUUAAAAAGGACAUUUGAGUUGACAAUCUCCAAAACCAACGAGGAAUCCUAUCAGAAAUUUUUGAGUUAGAGAUGUCUAGAUCUGCUAGAUGUUUUUGUGAGCGAAGCCACGUGGGAAACGAUGGCCCUAUAUGCCAAGAUCGUAACUCUAAGAAACGAAGUUGAAAAGGAGGAACCCAGUUAGGAUUGACUUUCAAAAUCAAUGAGUUGCCUGAUCCACGAAAAUCUAUCAAUUUUGUAUGGUUAGCAAAGUGCAUUGCGGAAACAACACCCUCCAACAAAUUAUUUUCAAUGGAGACCGCUUUCAAAUUUGCAAGCUGUCCUAAAGAAGUUGGAAGAGAACCAGAGAUUGAAUUACCAUACAAAUAAAGUUCUGUUAAGUUUAUAAAAUGUCCAAGUUGAUCGGUCAGUUGACCAAAAAUUUGACAAUUAGCCAAAUCCAAUGACUCAAAUCCAUGAGAGGAACAUCCUGACAGAAUUUCUAAGAUAUGUGAUAUGUCCUGGCUCAGUCUCAUACCUGACAAAGAGAUUGACCUCAAGUUACAAAGGUUUCCCACUGCUCUGGGAAACUCUCCUUCAAGUUCAUUCUCUGACAGGUAAAGUUUAUUCACAGAAGUCAUGUUGCCAAUGGCACUAGAAAUGCCACCUUGCAAUAGAUUAGAAUGAAGCCUGAGAACCUGGAGAGAGCUAAAACUAUAGAGCCAGUCAGGUAUUGAAGAAAUGAAAUAAUUAUAUGAAAGAUCAAGAAAUCUAAGAGAAGUCAUGUUUCGGAGAGCAUCAGGGAUGGGUCCAUGAAAAUCAUUUAUUCCAAGAUCGAGUAAAACCAGGGAGUUGAGCUUGGACACCCAUACAAGAUCCAUUUGAUUUGUAAAAUAAUUAGAGGAAAGGUCAAGGAUGGCAAGAGAUGACAAAUUAACAUUUGGCAAUGGAGGGCCUGGAAGAAGUUGACAGCCUGACAACUUCAAUUCCUCCAAAGAAGGGAGUACUGUGUUUAUCAGUUGCAACCAAUUGGAAGCUCUGCUGAGAUUCACGAAACUCAAAUCAAGAUGUUUCAGUAAAGAAAGACCAGACAGCCAUUGGAGAUUCUCAACAUAUAAUAACCCCAUCAUAAUAAAUGGAGUAUCACCUCCCAGAUUGAGAUAUUCUAAAUUUGACAGAUUCCCAAGUUGGUAAGGUAGGAGUCCUUCAAAUGCGUUGUUGCUUAAAUCCAAGUACCUUAAAUACUUCAAAUUGGACAAAGAAGGGUUUAUCUUACCUUUGAGGUUUGAUCUAUAAUAAGAUUCAAAGUCAGUAGUAUCAUCCAAAGGAGGAAGCCCAAGGUGGAGAUCAAGGACAUGGCCAGUACUAUUGUCACAGACAACUCCAUCCCAGCUACAGCAAUCCUCAUGAUCGGGAGCCCAAGAACCAAGCCGUUUUGAAGAAUCUAUGAGGUCUCGUUUGAACAUCAAAAGAGCUUGUUUUUCACUCUCAAUACAAGGACUAUUGGAGCUAGAGCUAAUUUCAUUGCUAAAGUUAAUGUCAGCCAUUGCUAGAAUGAUCAGAAGAACUAUGACGGUAGCCAUGGCUAAACAAAAAUUAUGGAGGGUAAGAAAAUGUGGCUGUGGUGCUAUUUAUCGACAGUGUCAUUUUUGGGAAUGCUGUUUGCCUACGCAAAGCUGCUGAUACAUAUAAUUAAGGAAGCAUUUUAAAAAUUGGUUAAAUUAUUAUUUAUAGUAAUAUUUUUAUAUAUAUUAAAAAAUUAAAAAUUGAUUCAUUCGAAUUUCUCUAAAAAAUAAUUGAAUCAACCAACCUAUUUCUAAUAAGUGAAAAUAACUGAACUGACAUAAAGUCAAAACAAUUCAGUUGAAAAAUUGAAAAUUUUUUACCAUUUUUAACAAUAAAUUUUAAAUAAUAAUUUUACAAAAGUUUUCAGCAAAUAAAACUCACCUUUUAAUUUGCUUCUAAGUCAUAUUUUUCCUUUUUUUUGCCCAAGUCAUAUUUUUCAUUUUUAAAAAUACAAAUAAUUUUUUAUAUAAUUAUAUUAAAUGUAUAAUAAAUUUAAAAAUUAAAAAAAAAAUUUAAUUUAGUUGAUUUAGUUAUUAAUUUUAAAAAUUAAAAUUCGAUCAAAUUAACCUAUUAAACUAAUUUAUUUAAUCGAUAAUUAUCAAAACCUUACUAAAAUCGAACCAUUUGAUUACAUUUAAUUGAUUUUUGUCAUUCAAAAUGAUAAAAGUGGACUUUGCUCACCCUUUUUAAAUAUGAUAAUUAUUAAAAUCAGAUCGAUUUGAUUAAAUUCAAAUAAUUUAUGUUAAUCAAAUUGACAAAAAUCAACUUUGCUCAACCUAUAUUUUUAUAAGUAAAGUUUCAUAAGUAAAGUUUGUAAAGUUUUUUAUUAAAAAUGAGUAAAUAAAAAUUAAAAUAAAAAAUCAAAAUAGAUAAACUAAAAGAUCUCAUCAUAUAGAUCAAACGUGUAAAAUUUUAAAAAAUUUAAUAAAUUUUGAUAUAUUUAUUAAAUAGACAUUUUCAGUAAAAAAUUGAUAAAAUUUAUACCGUUAAAUAAGUAUCAAUUAAAUUUGAAUUAUAAAUAAUAUUUUUGAUAAUUCUUUUUACAUAUUAUUGAUAUUUACAUUAAUUAAUUUAUCAAUUCGAAUUUUUUAUCAGAGUUUUUAUUUACUUAUUUUUAAUAAGGAACUUCAUGAACUCUACCUAUAUAACUUCAUAUAAAGUUUAUCCAUUAAAUAUAGUGUUAAUUAAUUUUAUAUAGUAUUUUAAAGACAUUUAUUAGUAAAUAUCUAUGGAAUAAAUUUGAAAUAAUGUUUAUGAAGGAGAGAAGUUUAAAUUCAUCAUUUUACUCUUUGGAGUAUAAAUAUUAGGUUCUUACUAAUUUUUACAUAUUACUUGCUUUCACCUUCAUAAUUUAUAUAAUAAAUUAAAUUUAAAUUUAUUCUUAUUAAAAGAAAUGUAGGGUUUUACCAAAUGUAGGCUUUUUAACCUGUUCUUGUCAAAAGAAAAUUUUCAAAUUUCAUAAUAACUUCUUAAAUACAUUAGCAACAACAUAUAGAUAUCCUUUUGUUAUUAUAUAGUGUUAAUUUAAUUUCACAAUAAAAUAAUGUAGGUCUAGUUUCAUAUUGUGAAAUUGCAAGUCCAUAAUGCUUUUAUGAAUAAAAACAAAUUUGCAGUAACCAAUUUUAUUUUCAAUUCAAAUGCCAUGCAUGCUGACAAAAAUUUUUAAAGAUUGCAAGAUUAAAAAGAUUUAAGCUCAUAAUAUUUUUCUUUGAAGAUUUAAAUAGAAAAAAAUUAAAAGAUUAAGGUUAAAUUAAAAAUUAAAAAAUUUUAUAUCUCAUUUUAAUAUUAUAUUUACAAAUCAAAUUUGACUAUUAUGAAAUUCAAAUUUUAGCUUAAUUAAUUAUAUAACUAUUUUUAUGAAAUAAUAUUUUAAAAAAUUGAUAUUCAAAUUCUAACAUAUAUGUCUUUUUACCUGUCACUAAAUUAAGACCUAAAAUGUAACCAAAAAGUUUUUGACUAUUAUGAGCCGCCAAUGACUUAUUCCACUUACAAUUUCAAUACCCAAAUUUGACCGUUGUCUAAUAUAUCAUUUUCAAUUUCUUCCCCCCCAAAAAAAAAAAAAACCCAAAAUCUCUCUUUUCAAUAUCAAAUAUCAUUCAUAAUAUUAUACAAUAAACUGUUAUUUCAAUUAACGAGUAAUUAGUUUAAUUAAUUAAGAUUUAUUCUCUUAAAUAAAAAUUUUUUUGAGUUUAAGUAUUAUCGGUGACUAUUUAUUAAGAUAAUCUCAAAUAUAUAACUUAUAAUCACUUAUUUUAAAUUAUCAGAUAUGAAAUAAUUUAAAGAAAUUAAAUAAUCUAUUUAUCUUUGAAUUAAAAAAAAAAUUUUUAUUCAAAGUUUUUAUAUUAAAAUACAAAAAAUCCUUUUUUUUAAAAAUAACGAAUGCGAUUAAUCACGGUAGAUAUUGUUUGGUCUUUGGUACACCAAAAAAAAAAAAGUGAUUGGUCCCUUUCUUAAUAAGUCGACUAAGAAUUUGGCAAGAAACCACGAGAAUGGAACAUAAUUUUUAAUUUAUUGGGGCAGUUGUGGAAUAAAAUUAUUUAUCGAAAAUCCACUCAUUUAUUGUGUUAAAGACAGCUGUUAUUUAAUGUGCUCAUUUGGAAUAAGGUGUUAGUCAAAUAUAUAUCAAUGAAAACAAAGACUUCUUAUGGCUAUCAUUUUCAAAAAAAUUUUUUAUUAAAAAAGAUUAUCUUUAUUUUUUAAUUAAAAAAUAAAAGCAUUAAUCAAUAAAUCCAAAAUUCGGAUGCUUCAAAUUAUAAUUAAUCAAGCUAUUAUAAAUUCAAAAUAUUAUAUAAUUAAUAUGAAUGAUCAAAAUUAUGAUGCAGAUUAGUAAAAUUCAAAAAAUAAAAGGUUUUUUUUCUGGAUUGACAGUAACUCAAGGAUACAUCUAAUUGUAUUCACGGUUGCAAAUGAGGAGAACAACUUAUUUUAUUCCAUUCCAUGGCUUAAAACAAAAGAAGGAUAAGAGAAAAGCAAGAUGCAUGUAGGCUUGGCAAGCAAGGUCUCUCCUCUCUCUCCCUCUCUCUCUAAUAAUUUUUAAAUUCCAGAAAUAGUCAAUUCCACAAUUGCAGGCUUGACAAGUCAAGGUAUCUCUUUCUCAUUUCUCUCUUUCUAAUAAUUAUUAAAUUCCAAAAAUAUACAAUUCCACAAUUAUAGGCUUGACAUAUGAACAGUUUUAAAAAUGGUCACAUAAUAUUUAGUAAAUAUAUUUUAUUUUAUUUAAGAUAUUUUUAAUUUAAAAUAAUUUAAAUAAUUUAAUUGAUUAUUAGCUUCUGCUUCUAAAUCCUCUGUUAGAAGACAUCCUUUAAACUGAGGGGCUGACUUUGUGAAAUAUAUUUUAAUAGGCAGUGGCUUUGAUUUUUAUAGGUGUGUGUUUUAUAACACUAGAUUGAGGUUGAACUUAGAUUAGUUAACAGUUCUAAUGAUUGAAUUUUUAGAUUGAUCUUUCUAGAUUUGAAACAAAUCACUUGUAUAAUAUUGUGGACUGAAGGAGAAUAUUGGGGUUUUAGGACUAAAUUGAUGCAGCAAGUCUAUAAUUCAUUACUAAAGGGUGAUCAGGCAUGUUUGGGUUGAACUUUCAGCUUUUAUUAACCUGUGACUAGCCUUAUGAUCUAAUAUGUUGAGCUGACUUACAAGUCUUUACAAGUCAGAUAUAUAAGUGAGUAACUCCUGAAUUUUUUCUCGUUGAGUUUUUCUUUUUAAAGUAAUUUUAUUCAGAUUUUAUGUUCAUUUUCUGUACUUUUCUCAUUUAGUAUUCCUUUACUCGUAUUUGUUUUCUUCCACUUCCAUUUUUGGUCAUUUACUACUUUCUCCUUUCUCAUUUCUUGUGCAUAGGUCUGCUUCAUGGGUGAGCACUCUCGUAUAUCAAUGGACUUCGAUAGUGUAAGUUAUCAUUUCUUAUGGUGGCUUUUCCUAUCAAUGCACUUUUAUAUUCAGUUUGAUGAAUUCCUGACCUGAUGCAAUUUAACGUGCAGUAUAUUUUAGUCCUAGCUGUAGCUUCAUUAAAAAUAUUGAAGUAAUUAAGAGUCUUCUUUGGCCUAGCUGGAGUUUCAUUAAAAAGAUUGAAGUAGAGUUUUGAAAUGGUUAUAAAUAUAUAAAUAACUAAGUAUAUUUAUGUCCAUCCAAAAUUUGGAUUAAUCUCUCUAUUGGUUUCUCUUAGUUCAGCUUCUCUUAGAAGCUCAAUUUUGAAGUUUCAUCUUUUAGCCUCUUGAAUCUCCUUUGAAAUAUUGGAAAGGAAAUCAUACACUAGUCAAACAGAUGUGCAGUAGGUGCUGGCUUUUUUGUUCAUCUUAAAUUCUUUUUCUAUCUUGUAUAGAUCAUAUCAGUGACCUUGGAGAACUACACCGAUAUCCAAAUGACCCCUGUCAGUGGCAGUAAAGUAAAUGAAAAUGGUAUCUCCUUCCCAGAUAUCAUUGAGAAGGAUUCAUCUGUACCAAAUCUUGUGAUUAACUCUGCCUUUGAUCCAACCAUGUAAGGCUUUAUUUCAGUAUAUCUCUUGCUGCAUUCAAUUCAGUAGGAUAUGUUUCAUGCUCAAAUAUCAUCCUUUGCUUCAUUUGGCUUUAUAACAGGGAUACUUCCAAGAGUCCCUCUUACUGGUCGAGAGUUAUCUUACGUAAUAUUGCCAGAUUGGCAAAAGAAGCAACAACUAUCCGGCGUGUUCUUGAACCUCUUUUUCAUAAUUUUGAUGCUGAAAAUCACUGGUCCCGAGAGAAGGGAGUCGCUUUUUCAGUUCUAAUGUAUUUGCAGUCGCUAAUGGAAGAAACAGGUUACUUUGGGAGUUUUAGUAUGGGUACUUUUUCUGAUAACUCGUUUGUAGAUAUAAUGGUAUUUAUUUUUUAAUGCCAGGAGAGGAGUCCCACCUUUUAUUGGCUAUCUUGGUGAAGCACAUGGAGCAUAAGAAUGUAGCCAAGCAACCUCAUAUACAAGUUAACAUUAUCGAUGUCAUUACUCAACUUGCACAAACUGCGAAGCCUCAGCCGUCAGUAGCAAUCAUCGGUACUAUAACUGACUUGAUGAAGUAUCUACGAAAAUGCCUUCAAAAUUCAACUGAAAUAUCAAGUUCUGGGGGU
rnacentral:lncRNA from 1 species